GCCCCCGUAGUUCAAUGGAUAGAACAAGGGACUCCUAAGCCUUAAAUGGCGGUUCGACUCCGUCCGGGGGCA
rnacentral:tRNA from 1 species